AUAUUUCAUCGUAUUUUUGACGAUUUUUCCAAUAUGAUUUAUUUCGUAUGUUUAUUUCUUCGUCAUGCUGUUGACUGUUCUGUAUUUUACUAAGAUGUAGGUUUAUUUUUAUACACAUACAUCAUCAGCUGAAAAGUCAUUGAAACAAGACAACGAACAGGUGCACGAAUUAAGGGAAAUGGCUACAAUUUCUCUCAGAUAAUUCAGUUCAAUUGCUCAGGAAUCCCGAGGCUUGGGCUAGUCCGGAAUCCUUGAGUCGUGGUAGCCAAGAGGGUGGUGCUUCGGUCUGUGGAGUUGACGAAAAGCACCAGGGGAGAUCAUUUGGCGAAACAUUCACCAUGCGGCAACAUAAAG